GCGUUAUUCGGAUUCACUGGGCGUAAAGGGUGCGCAGGCGGCCGUGUGUGUGGGGUGUGAAAGCCCGGGGCUUAACCCCGGAAUUGCACCUCAAACUACAUGGCUAGAGCAUUGGAGAGGGUAGCGGAAUUCACGGUGUAGCAGUGAAAUGCGUAGAUAUCGUGAGGAACACCAGAGGCGAAGGCGGCUACCUGGACAAUUGCUGACGCUCAGGCACGAAAGCGUG
rnacentral:rRNA from 1 species